rnacentral:rRNA from 1 species
AUGAAACUCAUAAGUUGGCACUGCCGCGGUAUGGCCAGUACGACAGCAGUGAGAUCGCUUCUGGAUCUUCAGAAGCAAUGGGGGCCGGAUGUGUUGUUUCUGUCUGAAACACAUCUGAACACAGGAAGGGCGGAAAAAUUAAUGAGGAAGUUGAAGAUGGAUCAUGUCGAGUUGGUGGAGAGCGUUGGGGCCAGUGGUGGCCUCUUACUCUCCUGGCACAACACGUGUGUGCUAGAGGUGAUGGGAAAGACAAAAAAAUAUUGA